UACGGGGGGGGCAAGCGUUGUUCGGAAUUACUGGGCGUAAAGGGCUCGUAGGCGGCCAACUAAGUCAGACGUGAAAUCCCCAGGCUCAACCUGGGAACUGCGUCUGAUACUGGAUGGCUUGAAUCCGGGAGAGGGAUGCAGAAUUCCAGGUGUAGCGGUGAAAUGCGUAGAUAUCUGGAGGAAUACCGGUGGCGAAGGCGGCAUCCUGGGACCGGCAUUGACGCUGAGGAGCGAAAGCCAGGGGAGCAAACGGGG
rnacentral:rRNA from 1 species